CUGAGUGCGAAAGCGUGGGGAGCAAACGGGAUAGAUACCCCGGUAGUCCACGCCGUAAACGAUGUCUACUAGCCGUUGGAGGACUUGAUCCUUUAGUGGCGCAGCUAACGCGAUAAGUAGACCGCCUGGGGAGUACGGUCGCAAGAUUAAAACUCAAAUGAAUUGACGGGGGCCCGCACAAGCGGUGGAGCAUGUGGUUUAAUUCGAAGCAACGCGAAGAACCUUACCUACUCUUGACAUCCAGUGAACUUUUGAGAGAUCAAUUGGUGCCUUCGGGAACACUGAGACAGGUGCUGCAUGGCUGUCGUCAGCUUGUGUUGUGAAAUGUUGGGUUAAGUCCCGUAACGAGCGCAACCCUUGUCCUUAGUUACCAUCAUUAAGUUGGGGACUCUAAGGAGACUGCCGGUGACAAACCGGAGGAAGGCGGGGACGACGUCAAGUCAUCAUGGCCCUUACGAGUAGGGCUACACACGUGCUACAAUGGCAUGUACAAAGGGUUGCCAAGCCGCGAGGUGGAGCUAAUCCCAUAAAGCAUGUCGUAGUCCGGAUUGGAGUCUGCAACUCGACUCCAUGAAGUCGGAAUCGCUAGUAAUCGUGAAUCAGAAUGUCACGGUGAAUACGUUCCCGGGCCUUGUACACACCGCCCGUCACACCAUGGGAGUGGGUUGCUCCAGGAGUAGAUAGCUUAACCUUCGGGAGGGCGUUUACCACGGAGUGAUUCAUGACUGGGGUGAAGUCGUAACAAGGUAACCGUA
rnacentral:rRNA from 1 species